rnacentral:rRNA from 1 species
UACGGAGGGGGCUAGCGUUGUUCGGAAUUACUGGGCGUAAAGCGUACGUAGGCGGCUUUGUAAGUUAGAGGUGAAAGCCCGGGGCUCAACUCCGGAAUUGCCUUUAUGACUGCAUCGCUUGAAUCAUGGAGAGGUGAGUGGAAUUCCGAGUGUAGAGGUGAAAUUCGUAGAUAUUCGGAAGAACACCAGUGGCGAAGGCGGCUCACUGGCCCGGUACUGACGCUGAGGUGCGAGAGCGUGGGGAGCAAACAGG